GGGGGUAUAGCUCAGUUGGGAGAGCACCUGCCUUGCACGCAGGGGGUCAAGAGUUCGAAUCUCUUUACCUCCA
rfam:Clostridium ventriculi strain 2789STDY5834858 genome assembly, contig: SCcontig000008